rnacentral:rRNA from 1 species
GGCGAACGGGUGAGUAACACGUGGGUAACCUGUCCAAAAGAUCGGGAUAACAGCUCGAAAGGGCUGCUAAUACCGAAUGUGCUUACCGGAUCGCAUGGUCUGGUAAGGAAAGGUUGGAAACUUCCGCUUUUGGAUGGGCCCGCGCCCCAUUAGCUAGUUGGUAGGGUAACGGCCUACCAAGGCUACGAUGGGUAGCUGGUCUGAGAGGAUGGUCAGCCACACUGGGACUGAGACACGGCCCAGACUCCUACGGGAGGCAGCAGUGGGGAAUCUUGCGCAAUGGGCGAAAGCCUGACGCAGCGACGCCGCGUGAGCGAUGAAGGCCUUCGGGUCGUAAAGCUCUGUCAGAGGGGAAGAUAAUGACGGUACCCUCAGAGGAAGCCCCGGCUAACUACGUGCCAGCAGCCGCGGUAAGACGUAGGGGGCGAGCGUUGUCCGGAAUUACUGGGCGUAAAGGGCGUGUAGGCGGCUAUGCAAGUCAGUAGUGAAAUACCUGGGCUCAACCUAGGCAUUGCUAUUGAAACUUCAUGGCUUGAGGGUAGAAGAGGAGUGUGGAAUUCCCGGUGUAGCGGUGAAAUGCGUAGAAAUCGGGAGGAACACCAGUGGCGAAGGCGACACUCUGGUCUAUCACUGACGCUGAGGCGCGAAAGCUAGGGGAGCAAACAGGAUUAGAUACCCUGGUAGUCCUAGCCGUAAACGAUGGGUACUAGGUGUAGGGGGUUUAGAUACCUUCUGUGCCGUAGCUAACGCAUUAAGUACCCCGCCUGGGGAGUACGGUCGCAAGGCUGAACUCAAAGGAAUUGACGGGGGCCCGCACAA